rnacentral:rRNA from 1 species
UGGGGAAUUUUGGACAAUGGGCGAAAGCCUGAUCCAGCAAUGCCGCGUGUGUGAAGAAGGCCUUCGGGUUGUAAAGCACUUUUGUCCGGAAAGAAAUCCUUGGCUCUAAUACAGUCGGGGGAUGACGGUACCGGAAGAAUAAGCACCGGCUAACUACGUGCCAGCAGCCGCGGUAAUACGUAGGGUGCAAGCGUUAAUCGGAAUUACUGGGCGUAAAGCGUGCGCAGGCGGUUUGCUAAGACCGAUGUGAAAUCCCCGGGCUCAACCUGGGAACUGCAUUGGUGACUGGCAGGCUAGAGUAUGGCAGAGGGGGGUAGAAUUCCACGUGUAGCAGUGAAAUGCGUAGAGAUGUGGAGGAAUACCGAUGGCGAAGGCAGCCCCCUGGGCCAAAUACUGACGCUCAUGCACGAAAGCGUGGGGGAGCAAACAGGAUUAGAUACCCCUGGUAGUCCACGCCCUAAAACGAUGUCAACUAGUUGUUGGGGAUUCAUUUCCUUAGUAACGUAGCUAACGCGUGAAGUUGACCGCCUGGGGAGUACGGUCGCAAGAUUAAAACUCAAAUGAAUUGACGGGGUCAUAGCUGUUUCCU